UGGUGGCUGGCUGCCUUCUUAAGUACAAUCCCUCCUUCAAACUCCCCCCACACUUGUCCCUUCUUUGAUCCUUCCCCUAGCCAAUGUUGGGGCAGUCACUAGCAACACAAGAUUUGAAUGGAAAUGAGCCAAUCUGGAACCAGGGGGGAAUCGCCAGCCAGUCGUUGCACAUUGACUGAAUAAAGAUGAAUGCAAUCGUGCCAGAACUUAAGAAAAUGAUGAAUAAGGAAGAGGAAUGACAACCCAAAUGCCUUGGAGUGUGUGUGUGUGGGGGGGGGUCCGACGACUCUGCAAUACAGAAGCCAUACAGAUGCUGAAAGAGAGAUAUACGGUGAGAUCAGGGAAGAAGAGCACUGAUCAAGAGGACCUUUUUCCGUCAGGGGCAUCCUACUAUUAACCAAGUGACCUCUUCUAUCCAAAAGAAGACAAGGAGGAUAAACAUGAUAAUCCCGCAGAUGCCUGGUUGCUGCAGGUUUCUCAAGGUUGCUUCAGCUCCCGUUGCUCUCCUUAACCCUCUCCUUCCCCCAGGUGGUGCUGUGUGACACACCAAAGAUUAUUUUUUUUUUUGUUUUGCCCUGGGUCCUCAAUCCAUUAUGUCCAGCUAACUUCCACGUGCAUUUUUAUUCAGAGAUAAUUAUGUGUUGAUCAGAGGAGUCAGCGGCUGUCACCCGCAUGGCAGGCACACCUGCUGUGUGACAUAGGUGGUAACGAUGGCAUGCUCUUGAGCUGUCAUGACAGGGACAGGACUUUAUUGUGUAUAUGUCACCAUUUCUCUUAGGGAAAUUAUCCUUCCCUGAACAAUGACAAUAAUGAACCUUACGAUGCAUUAAUAAAUCCUGAUUUUGGUCCU